ensembl:lncRNA
AAAUAUCCCAGGAUGCAUUUCGCAUUUCGCAUUCCUGUUUUAAAUUAUCAGUGUGUAAGCUAUAAAAUAGGCUAUAUAGGAACAUUUUAAAAACUAUAACAAAGACGGAGGCCUAUUCAACAUAUUUGCAUACUAUUAUUUUAAAAUGAAAGAGGGGUUUGUUUUACAUAAUUUGUUUAUUGUAUAAGUCGCUGAUGGAGGAAACCCAUCGCAACGGAAAUCCCGGUCGGAUCCAUCUGAUUGGUGUGUGUGUGUGCGUGUGUGCGUGCGUGCGUGCGCGUGUGUGUGCGCGUGUGUUCUAUUCUAUUCUAUUCUAUACAGUGUUACCCUUUACGUUUCAUUUGAUAAAAACGACAGUGUUACCCCUUAUGUUUUUUUUCCAUGAUGACUGAUGAAAAACAACAGUGUUACCCCUUAUAUUUUAUUUGACAAGGACAAUUAUUUAUUUAUUUUCAAAUAUGUUUUUUUUCAUGACGACCAAUAAAUUACGACAGUGUUACCCCUUAUAUUUUAUUUGACAAAGACAACAGUGUGACCCCUUAUGUUUUUUUUCAUGACGACCGAUAAAAAACGACAGUGUUACCCCUUAUGUUUUUUUCAUGACGACCGAUAUAAAACAACAGUGUUACCCCUUGUGUUUUUUUUCAUGACGACCAAUAAAAAACAACAGCGUUACCCCUUAUGUUUUUUUUCACGACGACCGAUAAAAAACGACAGUGCUACCCCUUAUGUUUUUUUUCAUGACGACCGACAGAAAACGACAGUGUUACCCCUUAUGUUUCAUUUGAUAAAAACGACAGUGUUACCCCCAAUGUUUUAUUCGAUACAUUUCGACAGUGUUACCCCUUAUGGAUUUUUCAUGACGACAGAUAAAAGACGACAGUGUAACCCUCUACGUUUCAUUUGAUAAAAACGACAGUGCUCUAUAAGGAAUAAUAAGGAAAAAGAGUUCACGUUGGGAGAAGGCUUGAGGAGUCUCAACAAAAAAGAGGAAGUCCGUCUUCUGACUUGACAGCUAGUGGCUACAACAACCAGACAACUGUCUACUGCUCUUGCCCUUAUGUUUUUUUCCCAUGAUGACUGAUAAAAAACAACAGUGUUACCCCUUAUAUUUUAUUUGACAAGGACAUUAUUUUAUUUUUUUUGAUAUAUGUUUUUUUUCAUGACGACCAAUAGAAAACGACAGUGGUAACCCUGUCGACGUUUUUGCAGUGAUCCAAAUCUGAGCUGUUUAGAGUAUUAACCUCCGAACUUAUCAAUGCACCAUCAAGACACUGAAUAAAGUCAACACAAUGGUUAUACUUGACUUUAUAAUUCGCAUGAAAUAGAGAUAAGAGUCUUCCAACAGAGGACAUCAACCGGACUUGAACCCCGGUCUCCAGGGGAAAUUUAGCCGCGGUCGCCAGUGGGUUCGGCAGAGUACACUCCACUGCACCACUGAGGCGAUGACAAUACAAAAUGAUCAAUCAUCAAUAAAGAGGAUAUACAUGACAUUAAAAUGCAUGUGUGUUUU